ACCCUGCCCAAAGUGGCAAUUGUGACAUAUCUUUGGCCAGCACCCAGGAGAUCCAAACUUUGUGCCUGGUCUCUCUCCACAAUUGGAAUUGGGAAAUACACAUGGGCACAGCUUACAGGUGGAAUGAUGACUCAUACCUGAAGAUAUUUUGACCUUUGUCAUCUUAGGGCAAAAACUAAGGUCCUGUGUCUUCAACUUGUAGGAUGGUCACAGAAUAUUACAACUUGCAUGCACGUUGUAUGAAGCCCUCAAGUGCUACAAAGAGUGCCAAAAUAGAGCCCAGCUAAAACUGUGGUAAAACUGUGGCUGUUGUAUGCAAACUCAAAUAAAAGUAAGGAUUAUCACCCUUCCACAUUAACAGAACCCACUGUUGAGGUUCUGAAUCGCACACCAAGAGGCAAUCAAGUUGGAAUUGUGAAUCUUAUGCAUCAAUCCAAUCGACAGAUGAGAUGAUAACACCAAGUCCAGGAUUUAGAACACCUGGGGGCUGUGCUUCCCCUAUCAAAACACAGUCUGUUGGUGAGAUUUGGGCUUUUGUGCAUCGAUUUAGUCCACUGUUGUGAUUGACUUGCAUACUUGAACUCAACCCACAAGAGGUGUUGACUCUUAUACCUUUAGCAGGAAAAUGUCCCGGCUUGUGAAUUUCUGCUAUUGACUGGGUCCAGCUGGAUCCAGGUAUGAGAGUCAUCAUCUCACCUGUGAGCUGUGACCAUGUAUAUGUCGCAAUUUCACCUGUCAGCAGGAAGCAGACAUGAGAGUCCUAUCACCUGGGUGCUGGACAAAAUUAUUUAAUUGUGUGUGAAGAACAAUGGGAAUGUGGAGUCUGUGAAUCUGUGAUAUCUAAAAGCGGGCAUAUCAUCUCAGUCAUAAUGACGAAGUUUCGCUCUUGUUUCCCAGGCCGGAGCACAAUGGCGUGAUCUCGACUCACCGCAACCUCCGCCUCCCGGAUUCAAGCGAUUCUCCUGCCUCAGCCUGCCGAGUAGCUGGGAUUACAGAUGAAAAAAGAUGCAAAGAAGACAUAUUUGCUUUUUAUCCACACAUCAUUUCCAAUCACUAUGCUGAGCAAAGUCAAUGUGAGCAGAGCUGAGAAUAGCAGUUUUCUGGCAGGACGGCCACUUCUGAGCAAAAAAUGACACAAUAAAAGUAUAAAUAUUUAAUAGUAAGCUAAUAUAUUUUCAGCACAUUAAGCAUAUGCAUGAAUAAAAUUAUUGUGGUAUAAUA